GACGAACGCUGGCGGCGUGCUUAACACAUGCAAGUCGAACGGUAAGGCCCUUCGGGGUACACGAGUGGCGAACGGGUGAGUAACACGUGGGUGAUCUGCCCUGCACUUCGGGAUAAGCCUGGGAAACUGGGUCUAAUACCGGAUAGGACCACUGCCUGCAUGGGUGGUGGUGGAAAGCUUUUGCGGUGUGGGAUGGGCCCGCGGCCUAUCAGCCUGUUGGUGGGGUGAUGGCCUACCAAGGCGACGACGGGUAGCCGGCCUGAGAGGGUGACCGGCCACACUGGGACUGAGAUACGGCCCAGACUCCUACGGGAGGCAGCGGUGGGGAAUAUUGCACAAUGGGCGCAAGCCUGAUGCAGCGACGCCGCGUGAGGGAUGACGGCCUUCGGGUUGUAAACCUCUUUCAGCACCGACGAAGCGCAAGUGACGGUAGGUGCAGAAGAAGGACCGGCCAACUACGUGCCAGCCGCCGCAGUAA
rnacentral:rRNA from 1 species